ensembl:lncRNA
CGGCCAUUUUCAAUAAGCAGAUCAAUUCAGUUAAGUUGCCUACACUGCUUGUACCUUUUCCACGUGCCUAAUUGAAACUGCUGUUUGUCAGUGGUAUCAGGGUGUCAGCACUCAAGAAAGGAACUGUUCCUUUUGUUCCCGGUGCAAGUACAGUGUGAGCUCUCUCAUCCAGCUGCCCAGGAUGGCUGGGAUGAAGAGGGAAUAGUUUCCAUCCUUCAUCUAUAGAAAGAGCAACGAAGAAUGGCUGAUCUUCAACUCAGCAGUACUAGAACUAAUGGAAGAGUUGCUGCUGAAUCACAUGGGCUGUUAUGAAAAUUCUUCUAUCACAGUUAACAAAGCAUUUCCUCCUCGCUUGACUGUGUGUUGGAAAUUCCUGACCCACUGCUCCCUAGAGGAGGCAACGUUACAUUUAUCUCCCUGUAAUCAUGUACCUUUUUAUGAACCAAGCCAUUUAACAGAUAUAUUUGUUAAAAGUAUGUAAAGUUAUACGUCUGGCAGUCCACCUAGAGUACCUUAUUCAACCGUUAAAGACCAGCUUCUGUGUGCUUGAAUCAUCAUUAAUAACAUAGUCAAGAUCAGAGAAGCCAAACAAGUAUGUGCUGAAGUAUCUUGCUGAUACUGCAAAUUCCACUAGUCAAGACGUCUUUGGCUUCCUCACCUAGGAACGUGUCGGCGGAGGACAGAAGAGUGGUGUUAACAGUGAACUGACCCUGAAGCACCAGCUGCUGCUCGUCACUGCCCGUCACACUGCACAUCAUGGUCAGAGGCCCCAGCACUGGGAAGGGAAUGGCUCUCCAUUGCCAUCAUUUGUCCAGUGGGUAAUUGAGACAGAUUUCUGCAUUGUUCCUUGAGGUCAAAAUGUGCAGAACAGAUAGAUGUGUUGUUCUGGCACAGCAAAAUCCUAUACAUAGCAGACUUCUUUAAACCAGCGCCUAUACCCUACAUUUUUUUCUCCUUCCAUUAGUUUAAAAACAGAUAAACUCGAACAGAAUAGCUUUCAAACCACCCUCUGUUUCUGCUCUCCAAAGAGACAAGCAGCAGAGCAUGGAGGAAAUGUCUCCGUGAGAGGGCCGUAUCUCUGGGUGACUUGAAGAGCUUUCCUG